rnacentral:rRNA from 1 species
UGCGGAAGGAUCAUUACCGAGUUAGGGUCGCUACACCGCGCCCGACCUCCAACCCUUUGUCUACCUUGACCUUUUGUUGCUUCGGCAGGCCCGUCCUCGGGCCGCCGGGGGGUCUCCGUCUGGGGAGCCCCUGGCCAGUGCCUGCCGGUGGCCCCUUAAACUCUUGCUUAAACGUGUCGUCUGAGUGAUUGUUAAAACAAAUAAUCAAAAACUUUCAACAACGGAUCUCUUGGUUCUGGCAUCGAUGAAGAACGCAGCGAAAUGCGAUAAGUAAUGCGAAUUGCAGAAUCCGUGAGUCAUCGAAUCUUUGAACGCACAUUGCGCCCUUUGGUAUUCCGAAGGGCAUGCCUGUUCGAGCGUCAUUAUCACCCCUCAAGCCCGGCUUGUUGUUGGAUCGAGUCUCGCCUCCGGCGCAGACUGGUCCCAAAGAUAAUGACGGCGUCUGUGAGGACUCCAGUACACUGAGCUUUCGGGCACGUACUUGGCCAGAACUCCAGGCCCGUUUAACCACGGCACCUCGGUGUCGUACUUACCAAGGUGACCUCGGAUCAGU